rnacentral:rRNA from 1 species
UACGAGGGGGGCAAAUGUUGUUCGGAAUCACUGGGCGUAAAGGGAGCGUAGGCGGGUUCUUAAGUUAGGUGUUUAAUCCCGGGGCUCAACCCCGGAACUGCCUUCGAUACUGGGUAUCUUGAGUUCGGAAGAGGUGAGUGGAAUUGCGAGUGUAGAGGUGAAAUUCGUAGAUAUUCGCAGGAACAUCGGUGGCGAAGGCGCUCUACUGGACCACAACUGACACUCAGGGACGAAAGCUAGGGGAGCGAAUGGG